rnacentral:rRNA from 1 species
UACGUAGGUGGCAAGCGUUGUCCGGAAUCAUUGGGCGUAAAGAGCGUGUAGGCGGUUCGGUAAGUCGGCUGUGAAAGUCGGGGGCUCAACCCUCGAAUGCCGGUGGAUACUGUCGGGCUAGAGUGCGGAAGAGGCGAGUGGAAUUCCUGGUGUAGCGGUGAAAUGCGCAGAUAUCAGGAGGAACACCAAUUGCGAAGGCAGCUCGCUGGGACGUAACUGACGCUGAGACGCGAAAGCGUGGGGAGCAAACAGG